rnacentral:rRNA from 1 species
GACGAACCGUGCGAACGUUGUUCGGAAUCACUGGGCUUAAAGGGCGCGUAGGCGGGCUGUCAAGUCUGGGGUGAAAUGCCGCGGCUCAACCGUGGAACUGCCUUAGAUACUGACGGCCUCGAGGAAGGUAGGGGCAUGAGGAACUGUAGGUGGAGCGGUGAAAUGCGUUGAUAUCUACAGGAACUCCGGUGGCGAAAGCGGCGUGCUGGACCUUUUCUGACGCUGAGGCGCGAAAGCUAGGGGAGCAAACGGG